rnacentral:rRNA from 1 species
AUUGAACGCUGGCGGCAGGCCUAACACAUGCAAGUCGAACGAGUGGCGGAAGGGUGAGUAAUGUCUGGGAAACUGCCUGAUGGAGGGGGAUAACUACUGGAAACGGUAGCUAAUACCGCAUAGCAUUAGAUGUGCCCAUAUGGGAUCAGCUAGUAGGUGGGGUAAUGGCUCACCUAGGCGACGAUCCCUAGCUGGUCUGAGAGGAUGACCAGCCAAUCUGGAACUGAGACACGGUCCAGAGUCCUACGGGAGGCAUCAGUGGGGAAUAUUCCACAAUGGGCGCAAGCCGGAUGCAGCCACGCCGCGUGUGUGAAGAAGGCCUUCGGGUUGUAAAGCACUUUUAGCGAGGAGGCGUCACUCGCAGAAGAAGCACCGGCUAACUCCGGGCCAGCAGCCGCGGUAAUUC